GUGGAUUGCCCGGUGGUCUAUGUGACAGCAGUCUCUGGGGCUUAGCGAGGAACAAGGCAAUGUCUCAGAAGGAAUCCUCAAGGACAUCUCUGAAAAAAGUUGGGAAGGAAGGAAGAAGGGACAUCUUAUAGAAAAUUCCAACAUUUCCUCAAGGACAAGACAAAAGAUGGCAUCUGGGGGAAUUUGUUCCUCAUCAGCAUUUAGUAGCAAGACGGUGGAAUCAUUGUCCGAAGACAUCUUUCAGCAACUACAGCUGGAUUUGAAUGACUGCAAUUGCUUUCCACUGCA